rnacentral:rRNA from 1 species
UACGGAGGAUCCGAGCGUUAUCCGGAUUUAUUGGGUUUAAAGGGUGCGCAGGCGGGGGAUUAAGUCGGCGGUGAAAUUUUGCAGCUCAACUGUAAAAGUGCCUUCGAAACUGGUUUCCUUGAGUGUAGAUGAAGUAGGCGGAAUUUGUGGUGUAGCGGUGAAAUGCUUAGAUACCACAAGGAACACCGAUAGCGUAGGCAUUGUACUUACCGGUAACUGACGCUGAGGCACGAAAGCGCGGGUAGCGAACAGGAUUAGAUACCCUGGUAGUCCCUGAGCGGG